rnacentral:rRNA from 1 species
UACGAAGGGUGCAAGCGUUACUCGGAAUUACUGGGCGUAAAGCGUGCGUAGGCGGUUUGUUAAGUCCGUUGUGAAAGCCCUGGGCUCAACCUGGGAAUUGCAGUGGAUACUGGCGAGCUAGAGUGCGGUAGAGGAUGGUGGAAUUCCCGGUGUAGCGGUGAAAUGCGCAGAUAUCAGGAAGAACACCUAUGGCGAAGGCAGCUCUCUGGGACGGUACUGACGCUGAGACGCGAAAGCGUGGGGAGCGAACAGG